AUGCUUACUUCGGCAGCACUUAUACUAAAAUUGGAACUAUACAGAGAAGAUUAGCGUGACCCCGUGCAAGGAUGACAUGCAAAUUUGCAAAGCAUUCCAUAUUUUU